UACGAAGGGGGCUAGCGUUGUUCGGAAUCACUGGGCGUAAAGGGCGCGUAGGCGGCGCGACAAGUCAGGCGGUGAAAGCCCCGGGCUCAACCCGGGAAUUGCGCUUGAUACUGUCGUGCUUGAGGCCGGGAGAGGAUGGCGGAAUUCCCAGUGUAGAGGUGAAAUUCGUAGAUAUUGGGAAGAACACCGGUGGCGAAGGCGGCCAUCUGGACCGGUUCUGACGCUGAGGCGGCGAAAAGCGUGGGGAGCAAACAGG
rnacentral:rRNA from 1 species